UGUCGUCCGCACGUGACCGCCUCCGGCAAGAUGGCAUUAGCGGAGGAACGGACGGAGCCGCCACCGAUCCCAGAUGUGCGCGCGUGUAGCAGCGGGAGAGGGCUGCGUCCAGGCGCCUGGCCCACGUCGGGAAUCUGGAAGGAGGAGGCGCCCCCACUGCAAGAACGAGGUUUGAGGUGCCAAAUGCGGGCUCAGGCCACUUCCCGCUGACCUCACUACCGUGCUGGGAAAUAUUACCCCACUUUACAAACUUGCCCAAAGUCCCGCUGCUGGCUGGAUUUGAAUCCAGAUUUUUUUAAACCACCACUUGAAAGACAACUGACAACCAGAGAAAGAAAAAUGUACAAAUAAAGUAUCCAUAAUACUAGGGAAAGCAUAAAACCUUCCAUCUAUAUACAUGUCUUUACAUAGUUGCAAGCAACCACACAUUUUCUUUUGUGUGUGUUACUGCCACUUAACAUUUUCUUUUGUUCUUGGUUCAUUCUUAAAGUGUGCAGGUAUCCUCAUCCAUUCACUCAGUCUCCUAAUAUGGUAUAUUUGGAUUCUUUACCAUUGUUUGCUAAUAUGUCCUUUCAUUCUGCACUUGGGACAAAUUCCUGGCAGUUGAGUAAGCAGGUACGAGGCAGAGGGGUUUUGGUCCACAGUGCCCCAGAACUUUUGCAAAGAGUUGCAGGGCUCAUGCUACUACUGCCUCCCAGGAACGAGUGGUAAGAGGCGUAAUACACAUCUCUAAGCAGUAGGUACCACCCUUUUUUCUCCUGCUUUACUAGUGUCUGUCAGUAGUUCAAGGUUACUUUAGCCUUUCUUAGAUGACUUUAAAAAUGUUAUUUUUUUCAUCAUUUACUAUUCAUUCUCCUUUCUGUGAAUGAUUGUUCAUAUCCAUUCAUCAGCUGGCAGACUUGAGCCUCUUCUAACUUUGAAUAAGCAUUUUUUAUAUUAUCAAUAUUAUUCCUGUAUCAUCAAUGAUGCAAGUAUUUCUCAGUCUGGUUUUUUUUUUUUGUCUUAUUUUAAUGUUCAAUCUGUCAUUCUUGUCCUUUUUUAUUUUAUUGCUUGAAUGCUAACAAAUCGAGCUUUCUUCCAUCCAUCUGAUGGUCCAUUUUCUGCUAGUUUUCUAAAAUCUCAUUUUAUAUUUAAUUCUUUGACAACUAUCCAUCCCAAGUUUAUUUUGCUGUGUGAAGUAAAAUAUGGACUCAACUCCCCACCAGCAUCACCAGGUUUUAUUGCUUAUGCAGUCAGCACUUAUUAAAUAAUUUCCCCCUGCCCUUUGUUUAGUAAAAUCUGAUUGGGUCAA